rnacentral:rRNA from 1 species
AUUGAACGCUGGCGGCAUGCUUUACACAUGCAAGUCGAACGGCAGCGGGGUAGUGCUUGUACUACUGCCGGCGAGUGGCGAACGGGUGAGUAAUAUAUCGGAACGUACCGAGUAAUGGGGGAUAACCAAUCGCAAGAUUGGCUAAUACCGCAUACGUCCUGAGGGAGAAAGCGGGGGAUCGCAAGACCUCGCGUUAUUCGAGCGGCCGAUAACUGAUUAGCUAGUUGGUGGGGUAAAGGCCUACCAAGGCGACGAUCAGUAGCGGGUCUGAGAGGACGAUCGGCCACACUGGGACUGAGACACGGCCCAGACUGCUACGGGAGGGAGCAGUGGGGAAUUUUGGACAAUGGGGGCAACCCUGAUCCAGCCAUGCCGCGUGUAUGAAGAAGGCCUUCGGGUUGUAAAGUACUUUUGUUAGGGAAGAAAAGGGAAGUGCUAAUACCACUUUUUGCUGACGGUACCUAAAGAAUAAGCACCGGCUAACUACGUG